UACAGAGGUCCCGAGCGUUGUUCGGAUUCAUUGGGCGUAAAGGGCGCGUAGGCGGCUUGCCAAGUCAGGGGUGAAAUCUUUCGGCUCAACCGGAAAAGUGCUUCUGAUACUGGCAGGCUGGAGGGAGGUAGGGGCAGAUGGAACUUCCGGUGGAGCGGUGAAAUGCGUAGAUAUCGGAAGGAACGCCGGUGGCGAAAGCGAUCUGCUGGAUCUCUUCUGACGCUGAUGCGCGAAAGCCAGGGGAGCAAACGGG
rnacentral:rRNA from 1 species